UACGGAGGGUGCAAGCGUUAUCCGGAUUCACUGGGUUUAAAGGGUGCGUAGGCGGGUAUUUAAGUCAGUGGUGAAAUCCUAGAGCUUAACCCUAGAACUGCCAUUGAUACUAUUUAUCUUGAAUAUUGUGGAGGUAAGCGGAAUAUGUCAUGUAGCGGUGAAAUGCUUAGAUAUGACAUAGAACACCUAUUGCGAAGGCAGCUUACUACGCAUAUAUUGACGCUGAGGCACGAAAGCGUGGGGGAUCAAACAGGAUUAGAUACCCUGGUAGUCCACGCCCUAAACGAUGGAUACUCGACAUACGCGAUACACUGUGUGUGUCUGAGCGAAAGCAUUAGGUAUCCCACCUGGGAAGUACGACCGCAAGGUUGAAACUCAAAG
rnacentral:rRNA from 1 species